GAAAACACUUGAUUCUACUGCAGAAACAUUUUGGGGGUGCAUGAAAGUGGAAAUCUACAGAACACUGGAAAGAAGUUUGCAACCAAACAGAAGAUUUGAAGAAAGAGACUACUUUGAGGAGAAAAGGAUUUUCAGAGAAGUCAUGUGCUUGAGGAAAAAAAAAAAAUGCAACAAAGGUAACUCUAAGAAAAGUCUGAGAGCUGAGGAAAGAAAACCUGCCUAUAGUAAGUACUGUCAGUGGGAACAUUAAUUUUCUUUUGGUUAUAAAAUUGGAUCAGACUGGAAAAGGAAAUGUUUGAAUUUUAAGGACUGAGUAUUUUCUGCAAUUUUGCUCUCCCUGUAAUUCUUCCUUGAACUUUAUCCUUAGUAAUCUUCAGAUGCGUGCAUUGCAUUCUAAGGCAUUACAGGGUUUUUUUCCACCUUAUUUUGAAUGGACCAAGGACCUGCUCCAAUAGGGUAAUGGCUGUACUCUAAAUUAGUAGUUCUCAAACUAUUGUUUGCAGUCAUCCACAGAGAGCUGGCUUGUCACAUGAUUCUGGCUGUAACCUUGUAAACUGAAAUAAAAGACACUAAAAAGA